AAGAAGAAGCCUUCCUGCUGAAAUAUCUGUGCUGGGCGUUACAUAGCCGAGAAGCUGAUGAUAAGCGCUCCUCAGUCUAAAACACUACCACACCCCAAUGGAUGACAGUAUCAGUGCUACUAGUUUGUUAGCCCUUAGCCCACACCAGGUGCUACAUCAACCUUGGCUUUUACUGAAAGAGGAUUUUAAAAACAUGUGCCAUGAACCCACUUGUGAAGUGUUACUGGAGCUGACGAGGUGUAAACGUGACUCGACAAAAAUGAGGAUGUCUGAGGGAAAAUCUGAGUCAUCGUAAGAGGGAAGAGAUGAAUAAUGUCCACCUUGAACUCUAGACACAGAUGAGAGCUUUCCAACCUGAUGUUGAGUGAAAAAGUCUGUUCCCUUCCUAGAAAAGAAAAAUGAGAGUUUGGGAGAAAAAGUGAAGAAGGAGGAGACAAAAGCUGUCCCCAAGCCGUCUAACUUCUUACUGAACAGUUAUAUCUUCCGGCAUCUUUCAGAGCAACUGGAGUUGCAGUGUCAGAACAUUGCACUAGUAAAUCCUCAGCUUGAUCCAGCAUAGCAUCCCUCUUGCAUUAGAAGCAUGCUGCAGGGCAGGCAGAUUCAUAUGGAUGUUGGUAAUGGUUAGCAACAUUUUGCUCUGUACAUACUUUGCUGCAGGGUCUUGAAUGAGAGCCACA
ensembl:lncRNA